UACGGGGGGGGCAAGCGUUGUUCGGAAUUACUGGGCGUAAAGGGCUUGUAGGUGGCCAACUAAGUCAGACGUGAAAUCCCUCAGCUUAACUGGGGAACUGCGUCUGAUACUGGAUGGCUUGAGUUUGGGAGAGGGAUGCGGAAUUCCAGGUGUAGCGGUGAAAUGCGUAGAUAUCUGGAGGAAUACCGGUGGCGAAGGCGGCAUCCUGGACCGGCAUUGACGCUGAAGCGCGAAAGCUAGGGGAGCAAACGGG
rnacentral:rRNA from 1 species